AGCAGCUGCGGUAAUUCCAGCUCCAAUAGCGUAUAUUAAAGUUGUUGUAGUUAAAAGCUGUAGUUGAAUUUCGGGUUCUACCAUUGAUCGGGCAAUAGCCUGUACUGGCGUGUGGAAUUCUACCUUCUGGGGAACCAUCAUGUUAUUUAUUUAGUGUGGUAGGAAACCAGGACCUUUCCUUGAAAAAAUUAGAGUGUUCAAAGCAGGCUUACGUCUAAAUAC
rnacentral:rRNA from 1 species